AUCUUUCCUCUGCUCAGUCUCCUGGGUAUGCAAGUGCAGUGAGCUUUUCUCCACCCAACUACCUCAGGCAGGCACUCUGACAGGCACAGGUUGGUUGGUGUGGAUUGCAUCUGAUGUGAGGGUGGGAUAGAGCUGAGUGCAAUCUGUGACAAGGCUUUGCCAACAAGGCAGCAAUUAUAGAUAUGGGAUUAUACAUGUGAAGGGCCAUUUCCACUUCUCUAACGUUUCCAGAGGGAAUGACAGAAGCCAUUUUAGGAUGAGAAAGCUAGUCCCUGCUCUGUGUUACAGGUUGGAC
rnacentral:lncRNA from 1 species